CCAAUAGCGUAUAUUAAAGUUGCUGCAGUUAAAAAGCUCGUAGUUGAAUUUCGGGACCGAUAUAUCGGUCGUGCCUAGGUACGUACUGGUAUUUUCGGUUUCUCCCUUCUGACGAACCUUGAUGUCAUUAAUUUGGUGUCUUGGGGAAUCAGGACUGUUACUUUGAAAAAAUUAGAGUGUUUAAAGCAGGCUCACGCUUGAAUACAUUAGCAUGGAAUAA
rnacentral:rRNA from 1 species